UUGAAGAGUUUGAUCAUGGCUCAGAUUGAACGCUGGCGGCAGGCCUAACACAUGCAAGUCGAGCGGUAGCACAGAGAGCUUGCUCUCGGGUGACGAGCGGCGGACGGGUGAGUAAUGUCUGGGAAACUGCCUGAUGGAGGGGGAUAACUACUGGAAACGGUAGCUAAUACCGCAUAACGUCGUAAGACCAAAGUGGGGGACCUUCGGGCCUCAUGCCAUCAGAUGUGCCCAGAUGGGAUUAGCUAGUAGGUGGGGUAACGGCUCACCUAGGCGACGAUCCCUAGCUGGUCUGAGAGGAUGACCAGCCACACUGGAACUGAGACACGGUCCAGACUCCUACGGGAGGCAGCAGUGGGGAAUAUUGCACAAUGGGCGCAAGCCUGAUGCAGCCAUGCCGCGUGUGUGAAGAAGGCCUUCGGGUUGUAAAGCACUUUCAGCGGGGAGGAAGGCGGUGAGGUUAAUAACCUCAUCGAUUGACGUUACCCGCAGAAGAAGCACCGGCUAACUCCGUGCCAGCAGCCGCGGUAAUACGGAGGGUGCAAGCGUUAAUCGGAAUUACUGGGCGUAAAGCGCACGCAGGCGGUCUGUCAAGUCGGAUGUGAAAUCCCCGGGCUCAACCUGGGAACUGCAUUCGAAACUGGCAGGCUAGAGUCUUGUAGAGGGGGGUAGAAUUCCAGGUGUAGCGGUGAAAUGCGUAGAGAUCUGGAGGAAUACCGGUGGCGAAGGCGGCCCCCUGGACAAAGACUGACGCUCAGGUGCGAAAGCGUGGGGAGCAAACAGGAUUAGAUACCCUGGUAGUCCACGCCGUAAACGAUGUCGAUUUGGAGGUUGUGCCCUUGAGGCGUGGCUUCCGGAGCUAACGCGUUAAAUCGACCGCCUGGGGAGUACGGCCGCAAGGUUAAAACUCAAAUGAAUUGACGGGGGCCCGCACAAGCGGUGGAGCAUGUGGUUUAAUUCGAUGCAACGCGAAGAACCUUACCUGGUCUUGACAUCCACAGAACUUAGCAGAGAUGCUUUGGUGCCUUCGGGAACUGUGAGACAGGUGCUGCAUGGCUGUCGUCAGCUCGUGUUGUGAAAUGUUGGGUUAAGUCCCGCAACGAGCGCAACCCUUAUCCUUUGUUGCCAGCGGUUAGGCCGGGAACUCAAAGGAGACUGCCAGUGAUAAACUGGAGGAAGGUGGGGAUGACGUCAAGUCAUCAUGGCCCUUACGACCAGGGCUACACACGUGCUACAAUGGCAUAUACAAAGAGAAGCGACCUCGCGAGAGCAAGCGGACCUCAUAAAGUAUGUCGUAGUCCGGAUUGGAGUCUGCAACUCGACUCCAUGAAGUCGGAAUCGCUAGUAAUCGUAGAUCAGAAUGCUACGGUGAAUACGUUCCCGGGCCUUGUACACACCGCCCGUCACACCAUGGGAGUGGGUUGCAAAAGAAGUAGGUAGCUUAACCUUCGGGAGGGCGCUUACCACUUUGUGAUUCAUGACUGGGGUGAAGUCGUAACAAGGUAACCGUAGGGGAACCUGCGGUUGGAUCACCUCCUU
rnacentral:rRNA from 1 species